CAGAGGAGGUUUUGUUGUCUUUUAUUUAUUGUUAAUUCUCCAAACAAUAUCUGUAAAAUCUCUCACUUGAAUGUUUGUGUGCAGUAGUUAAUCAACCUUUCGCCGGUGUAUUCAGUUCUUUCACACACCUUUUCAUGGGAGCAGAAGGUACCUAGCUAAUUCACUAUUUUUUGAACAUGUUACAGUUUUUUCAAGUGCUCACAGAAAAGUUUGUUGUUACUUCAAAAGGUUGUGUUGAUCUGUUGCUUAGUCCAAAAAAAUGAAAUGUAAUAAUCAUGUGGUUCUAGAUGAUUAAAAAUAAGAAGCCGCGUUGGUCUUGAUUUUUUUCGCAUCAUUAUAUUGAGCCUUUUUUAGGAUAACCUUUUUACUGUUGGAAAUCAUGGGCUAAGUUUUGUGUGUACCAGAAACAGAGAACCUUGAUAACUAUAUUGUGGUGCAGAGUUGAAUAUUGUGUGGAGGUUAGUGUUGAAGAAGAUAAGUUCAUUUGUGAGUGCCUUAAUUUUGAACACUCUGAUUUGCUGUGCAGCGACACACUGAAGGUAUUACUAAUGCUACAUUGUACUUACAUUACUUGCUCUGUUAAGCAUGAGAGUUAAUGAUACUUGUGUGUAGUUAUAAUUUUUCUAGGUUGAUGCACACCUCUUUACGUUGAGCUACCUGUUACUUGCAGGCAAACACACUGCACUAGAUGUUUGCUUGCUCCUUCUACUCCUAAUUGCUGCACCAUUAAAGGUCACUGCAUCUGAUAUUGACCAAUUAACAUCAUGCAUGUACUUUCACACGCCUGUGAUGGCAAGAAGGCAUCAGAUGUCUUAGUAUGUUUAUUGCUCCAUGGUGUUGGGAUUAUCUAAUUUUGCUGCACUUACACAGUUUUUGGUUCUGUUGAUCUUAGGUAACUCAGGCUUAAAGUUUCAAAAGCUAGACUGUAGGCGCAUACAUGUGGAUUCAAUCUCUUUUUCUUAAGAGCAACUCCAAUGCAGUGACUCAAAUCGUGCCCGUAUGGGUCGGCCGAGCGGACGGAUUUGCCUAUUUUUUCAUUUGGGUCAUCCAGUGCACCCAACGGUAGCUGACACAUUUUGUGACACGUCUGCCCUGACAUUUUGUCAAACACGUAGCAGGCAGGGGAGCUCGCGGCAGCUUGGCGUGGCGAGGCGAGGCUGGGAUGGGCGUGUGAGUAGUGAGGCGGCCAGGCACGAGGAGGCGAGGCGACCGGGCGCACGAGGCUGCUGGGCACGGCGAGGCGAGGCCGGGCCGGACGCGCGAGCACCUAGCAGGCGUGGCCGCCGCCUGCGUCGACCAGGAGCACACACCCGCGGAGAAAUGCCGUGGCCUGGCGCUGCCCGUCGCGGAGCUCGCGAGGGACUCCUUUGUCAUGGGCGGGCGCUGCCUGUCACGACGCUCGUGAGGUCCAGCUUGGGAUGCAUGGAGUCCAGAGCGCGGCAGAACUGCCCGGCGGCUGUCGAGGUGGGCGAGCACGGCGGUGGCAGCUGCAGCAGCAGCUGCUGCUCAUAAGUCCGCUGUGGUGACUGCGUCUGCUGUUGUUCCUGCUUGCGCGGCAGCGGUGACUGCAGAUGUUGCUCAUGCGUCUGUUGUUCCUGCGUGCGCGGGGGCGCGGAGGUGAUGGCGUUGCGGCGGCGGUGACUGCAUUGGGCAAAUAUUUUCGUCUGCGCAGACACAAACAGACAAAAUGGGUGGGAUUGGUAGCAAAGCUGUUCUGUUGGACUAUGCAGUUCAUUGGCCAUGGAGUUUUUGCGGCAAGUCUCUAUCAAGCUAUUAACGUUAGGUUAAGCACUAUCUGAAGUAAAUUUCUGCCCAAAUAUUAUACUUGACACUUACUCUGACUGUAGAACCGGACACGUGCUCUACUUCAUAGCAUUCUGGUUUUCAUGCAAUGUGCAAAAGCUGAUUAAUGCUAAACGCAGGAGUGGGUGGAUAAGAAAGCAAAUAUAAUGUCUUGAGAAGUGACCAAAAACUCAUGAUGCUAUAUUUGUUGUGUUGUGUAACAGUGUAAGAUGAGAAUGAUUCACCCUGUUUGCUAUCUCUGUGUUACUUCAGAUAAACUAAACCGCAGACUAAUAUCACCCUGA